GAUCCUGGCUCAGGAUGAACGCUAGCUACAGGCUUAACACAUGCAAGUCGAGGGGCAGCGGGAUUGAAGCUUGCUUCAAUUGCCGGCGACCGGCGCACGGGUGAGUAACGUGUAUCCAACCUUCCGUACACUCAGGGAUAGCCUUUCGAAGAAAGAUUAAUACCUGAUGGUAUCUUAAGCACACAUGUAAUUAAGAUUAAAGAUUAUCGGUGUACGAUGGGGAGUGCGUUCCAUUAGGUAGG
rnacentral:rRNA from 1 species